GUGUGGGGGGGUUUAUGAUGGUGGUGGUGGGGGCAAUAAUCACAAAUUGAGCAGUCUUCUGAGUAAUGACCUUACUUGGUUAUUGCAAGCAAAGUGAAGAAGAGCUUAUGUUUUUGUGAAGGAAAUGACAGAAAAUACCAGGCUCCAUCAGUAUAGAUCAGUCUCCAUUUGAGUUCUGCACCAUCUAUCUCCACCACCUGGAUAGUUGUGCAAGAUGCAAACAGUCCAAACUAAUAAUGUUUCUACAUCAUAAUGGGAUUUGCAGAUGAAUGGCUUGUGCCUUACAACUAUACAAUCAGUCUCUCUUGUAACCUGCAAGAAACUAGCUUCAGCAAUGGUGUUAAAGAAUAAAAGAGUUUGGAGGUUAUGGAAGGGGGCCAUUACUCAGAGCAGGCCCUUCUACUUUCUAUGUCCAAAUAUCACAUGCCAGCAGAUGUGGUCACCAUCAUAGGUACUCAAGAUAUCGUGUCUGGAAAGGUAGAUAGGACUACUAGGUGCUCGAUCAGGACCUAGCUUUAUUGCGAGCCAAAAAAAGAAAAAAGACUUGUCACACAAGAGGCCUGGUUCCGUGAACGCGGAAUGAAGACACAGCCGAGCCAAGGAUGUGACUCAUUCACUGGCUUGUUAUGGUGAAGAUCGGGCUUGUCUGUAGUGCAAAAGUGUGGGUAGCACACAUCCAACGGCCAAGAACGUUCAGGCAUGCAGUCCAAGACAUUUCUGGUUGUUGGAUGCACGCUACAGGGCCUGUCGGGCGACGGAGGAUCCCGAUCCUGAAAAUAAUGCCAAAGCAAUCUUGUCAAUCACUGUAUUGAUACUCUUAUCACUCUUAUGUUUGUUUUCCAAACCAUUGUCACUACUGUUUUUCUCAACUAAUGGCACAUGGAAGGGUGGAAUUUCGUCUUCUCAUCCAUGAUUGUAAAUUUGCAACUGUGCUUUGAAUGCAGCAAGAGUCAGGCAAAUAGUUCCUAGAAA